UACGUAGGCAGCAAGCGUUGUUCGGAAUUACUGGGCGUAAAGCGUGCGCAGGCGGCUUCUCAAGUCAGGGGUGAAAGCCCAGAGCUCAACUCUGGAAUUGCCUUUGAGACUGAGUGGCUUGAGUACGAGAGAGGUGAGUGGAAUUCCCAGUGUAGAGGUGAAAUUCGUAGAUAUCGGGAGGAACACCAGUGGCGAAGGCGGCGACCUGGGCCAUUACUGACGCUG
rnacentral:rRNA from 1 species